rnacentral:rRNA from 1 species
GAUGAACGCUAGCGGCAGGCCUAAUACAUGCAAGUCGAGGGGUAGUUCUUCGGAAUGAGACCGGCGCACGGGUGAGUAACGCGUACAUAACCUGCCUCGUACACAGGGAUAGCCUUGGGAAACUGAGAGUAAUACCUGAUAGUAUCUACGGAUUAAAGCUCAGGCGGUACGAGAUGGGUGUGCGUCCCAUUAGCUAGUUGGUAAGGUAACGGCUUACCAAGGCUACGAUGGGUAGGGGGCGUGAGAGCGUGGCCCCCCACACGGGUACUGAGACACGGACCCGACUCCUACGGGAGGCAGCAGUAAGGAAUAUUGGUCAAUGGAGGAAACUCUGAACCAGCCAUGCCGCGUGAAGGAUGACGGCCCUAUGGGUUGUAAACUUCUUUUAUACGGGAAGAAAAGCUCUUUUUCUAGAGGGUCUGACGGUACCGUACGAAUAAGCACCGGCUAACUCCG